AGCGUACACGGUGGAUGCCCUGGCAGUCAGAGGCGAUGAAGGACGUGCUAAUCUGCGAUAAGCGUCGGUAAGGUGAUAUGAACCGUUAUAACCGGCGAUUUCCGAAUGGGGAAACCCAGUGUGUUUCGACACACUAUCAUUAACUGAAUCCAUAGGUUAAUGAGGCGAACCGGGGGAACUGAAACAUCUAAGUACCCCGAGGAAAAGAAAUCAACCGAGAUUCCCCCAGUAGCGGCGAGCGAACGGGGAGCAGCCCAGAGCCUGAAUCAGUGUGUGUGUUAGUGGAAGCGUCUGGAAAGGCGCGCGAUACAGGGUGACAGCCCCGUACACAAAAAUGCACAUGCUGUGAGCUCGAUGAGUAGGGCGGGACACGUGGUAUCCUGUCUGAAUAUGGGGGGACCAUCCUCCAAGGCUAAAUACUCCUGACUGACCGAUAGUGAACCAGUACCGUGAGGGAAAGGCGAAAAGAACCCCGGCGAGGGGAGUGAAAAAGAACCUGAAACCGUGUACGUACAAGCAGUGGGAGCACGCUUAGGCGUGUGACUGCGUACCUUUUGUAUAAUGGGUCAGCGACUUAUAUUCUGUAGCAAGGUUAACCGAAUAGGGGAGCCGAAGGGAAACCGAGUCUUAACUGGGCGUUAAGUUGCAGGGUAUAGACCCGAAACCCGGUGAUCUAGCCAUGGGCAGGUUGAAGGUUGGGUAACACUAACUGGAGGACCGAACCGACUAAUGUUGAAAAAUUAGCGGAUGACUUGUGGCUGGGGGUGAAAGGCCAAUCAAACCGGGAGAUAGCUGGUUCUCCCCGAAAGCUAUUUAGGUAGCGCCUCGUGAAUUCAUCUCCGGGGGUAGAGCACUGUUUCGGCAAGGGGGUCAUCCCGACUUACCAACCCGAUGCAAACUGCGAAUACCGGAGAAUGUUAUCACGGGAGACACACGGCGGGUGCUAACGUCCGUCGUGAAGAGGGAAACAACCCAGACCGCCAGCUAAGGUCCCAAAGUCAUGGUUAAGUGGGAAACGAUGUGGGAAGGCCCAGACAGCCAGGAUGUUGGCUUAGAAGCAGCCAUCAUUUAAAGAAAGCGUAAUAGCUCACUGGUCGAGUCGGCCUGCGCGGAAGAUGUAACGGGGCUAAACCAUGCACCGAAGCUGCGGCAGCGACGCUUAUGCGUUGUUGGGUAGGGGAGCGUUCUGUAAGCCUGCGAAGGUGUGCUGUGAGGCAUGCUGGAGGUAUCAGAAGUGCGAAUGCUGACAUAAGUAACGAUAAAGCGGGUGAAAAGCCCGCUCGCCGGAAGACCAAGGGUUCCUGUCCAACGUUAAUCGGGGCAGGGUGAGUCGACCCCUAAGGCGAGGCCGAAAGGCGUAGUCGAUGGGAAACAGGUUAAUAUUCCUGUACUUGGUGUUACUGCGAAGGGGGGACGGAGAAGGCUAUGUUGGCCGGGCGACGGUUGUCCCGGUUUAAGCGUGUAGGCUGGUUUUCCAGGCAAAUCCGGAAAAUCAAGGCUGAGGCGUGAUGACGAGGCACUACGGUGCUGAAGCAACAAAUGCCCUGCUUCCAGGAAAAGCCUCUAAGCAUCAGGUAACAUCAAAUCGUACCCCAAACCGACACAGGUGGUCAGGUAGAGAAUACCAAGGCGCUUGAGAGAACUCGGGUGAAGGAACUAGGCAAAAUGGUGCCGUAACUUCGGGAGAAGGCACGCUGAUAUGUAGGUGAAGCGACUUGCUCGUGGAGCUGAAAUCAGUCGAAGAUACCAGCUGGCUGCAACUGUUUAUUAAAAACACAGCACUGUGCAAACACGAAAGUGGACGUAUACGGUGUGACGCCUGCCCGGUGCCGGAAGGUUAAUUGAUGGGGUCAGCGCAAGCGAAGCUCUUGAUCGAAGCCCCGGUAAACGGCGGCCGUAACUAUAACGGUCCUAAGGUAGCGAAAUUCCUUGUCGGGUAAGUUCCGACCUGCACGAAUGGCGUAAUGAUGGCCAGGCUGUCUCCACCCGAGACUCAGUGAAAUUGAACUCGCUGUGAAGAUGCAGUGUACCCGCGGCAAGACGGAAAGACCCCGUGAACCUUUACUAUAGCUUGACACUGAACAUUGAGCCUUGAUGUGUAGGAUAGGUGGGAGGCUUUGAAGUGUGGACGCCAGUCUGCAUGGAGCCGACCUUGAAAUACCACCCUUUAAUGUUUGAUGUUCUAACGUUGACCCGUAAUCCGGGUUGCGGACAGUGUCUGGUGGGUAGUUUGACUGGGGCGGUCUCCUCCUAAAGAGUAACGGAGGAGCACGAAGGUUGGCUAAUCCUGGUCGGACAUCAGGAGGUUAGUGCAAUGGCAUAAGCCAGCUUGACUGCGAGCGUGACGGCGCGAGCAGGUGCGAAAGCAGGUCAUAGUGAUCCGGUGGUUCUGAAUGGAAGGGCCAUCGCUCAACGGAUAAAAGGUACUCCGGGGAUAACAGGCUGAUACCGCCCAAGAGUUCAUAUCGACGGCGGUGUUUGGCACCUCGAUGUCGGCUCAUCACAUCCUGGGGCUGAAGUAGGUCCCAAGGGUAUGGCUGUUCGCCAUUUAAAGUGGUACGCGAGCUGGGUUUAGAACGUCGUGAGACAGUUCGGUCCCUAUCUGCCGUGGGCGCUGGAGAACUGAGGGGGGCUGCUCCUAGUACGAGAGGACCGGAGUGGACGCAUCACUGGUGUUCGGGUUGUCAUGCCAAUGGCACUGCCCGGUAGCUAAAUGCGGAAGAGAUAAGUGCUGAAAGCAUCUAAGCACGAAACUUGCCCCGAGAUGAGUUCUCCCUGACUCCUUGA
rnacentral:rRNA from 1 species